rnacentral:rRNA from 1 species
AGAGUUUGAUCAUGGCUCAGGAUGAACGCUGGCGGUCUGCUUAACACAUGCAAGUCGAACGGAAGUAGCAAUACUUUAGUGGCGGACGGGUGAGUAACGCGUGAGAAUCUACCUUCAGGACGGAGACAACAGUUGGAAACGACUGCUAACCCCCGAUGUACCGCAAGGGCAAAUAUUUAUAGCCUGAAGAAGAGCUCGCGUCCGAUUAGCUAGUUGGGGGGGUAAAAGCCCACCAAGGCGACGAUCGGUAGCUGGUCUGAGAGGACGAUCAGCCACACUGGGACUGAGACACGGCCCAGACUCCUACGGGAGGCAGCAGUGGGGAAUUUUCCGCAAUGGGCGCAAGCCUGACGGAGCAAGACCGCGUGGGGGAGGAAGGCUCUUGGGUUGUAAACCCCUUUUCUCUGGGAAGAACAAAAUGACGGUACCAGAGAUCAGCUCGAUCCGGUC